rnacentral:rRNA from 1 species
CGCCUCCUGCAACUAACUGAGUAUAGGAGGUCCAGCCUGCCCAGUGACUACGGGUUUAACGGCCGCGGUAUUUUGACCGUGCAAAGGUAGCGCAAUCACUUGUCUCUUAAAUAGAGACCUGUAUGAAUGGCUAGACGAGGGCUUAACUGUCUCCCCCCUUCAGUCAGUGAAAUUGAUCUAUCCGUGCAGAAGCGGGUAUACUACUACAAGACGAGAAGACCCUUUGGAGCUUAAGGUAUAAAAUUCAACCACGUUAAACGACUCUAUAAGAAGCAGGAACUUAGUGGCCGUGAAAUUUUACCUUCGGUUGGGGCGACCACGGAGUAAAAAUUAACCUCCGAGUGGACUGGGCCAAACCCCUAGAACUAAGAGAAACAUCUCUAAGCCACAGAACAUCUGACCAAUAAUGAUCCGACUACAAUAGUCGAUCAACGAACCAAGUUACCCUAGGGAUAACAGCGCAAUCCUCUCCCAGAGCCCAUAUCAACGAGAGGGUUUACGACCUCGAUGUUGGAUCAGGACAUCCUAAUGGUGCAGCCGCUAUUAAGGGUUCGUUUGUUCAACGAUUAAAGUCCU